AGAAUCAACGCUGGCGGCGUGCCUAACACAUGCAAGUCGCACGAGAAAGGGGAGCAAUCCCUGAGUAAAGUGGCGCACGGGUGAGUAACACGUGAAUAAUCUACCUCCGAGUGGGGAAUAACUGAGAGAAAUCUUAGCUAAUACCGCAUAACACUUACGAGUCAAAGCAGCAAUGCGCUUGGAGAGGAGUUCGCGGCCGAUUAGUUAGUUGGCGGGGUAAUGGCCCACCAAGACGAUGAUCGGUAUCCGGCCUGAGAGGGGCGCGACGGAACGACGACCUGGAACGUGAAACACGGUCCAGACUCCUACGGGAGGCAGCAGUGGGGAAUUUUGCGCAAUGGGGGAAACCCUGACGCAGCAACGCCGCGUGGAGGAUGAAGCCCCUUGGGGUGUAAACUCCUUUCGAUCGGGAAGAUAAUGACGGUACCGAUAUAAGAAGCCCCGGCUAACUUCGUGCCAGCAGCCGC
rnacentral:rRNA from 1 species